GGACGAGUAGCGCAGUGGUAGCGCAACAGCUUUACAGAAUUGAUCUUGGUCCAAUUCCGCUGGAGGUCGUCAGUUCGAUCCUGGCCUCGUUCA